GCGAGUCGUGCGCCCCGGGCUGGCGGGGCGCGGCGCACGGCUCAGUAACACGUGGCCAACCUACCCUCAGGACGGGGACAACCCCGGGAAACUGGGGCUAAUACCCGAUAGGCGAUGGCUCCUGGAAUGGGCCAUCGCCAAAAGGGGCCUAGAGCCAUGCCCCUAGGUCCGCCUGAGGAUGGGGCCGCGGCCCAUCAGGUAGUUGGCGGGGUAACGGCCCGCCAAGCCGAUAACGGGUACGGGCCGUGAGAGCGGGAGCCCGGAGAUGGGCCCUGAGACAAGGGCCCAGGCCCUACGGGGCGCAGCAGGCGCGAAACCUCCGCUAUGCGGGAAACCGCGACGGGGUCACCCCGAGUGCCACCCGAAGAGGGUGGCUUUUCCCCAGUGUAACGAGCUGGGGGAAUAAGCGGGGGGCAAGUCUGGUGUCAGCCGCCGCGGUAAUACCAGCCCCGCGAGUGGUCGGGACGCUUAUUGGGCUUAAAGCGUCCGUAGCCGGUCCAGCAAGUCUCCCCUUAAAUCCCACGGCCCAACCGUGGGGCUGGGGGAGAUACUGCUGGGCUAGGGGGCGGGAGAGGCCGAGGGUACUCCCGGGGUAGGGGCGAAAUCCUAUAAUCCCGGGAGGACCACCAGUGGCGAAGGCGCUCGGCCAGAACGCGCCCGACGGUG
rnacentral:rRNA from 1 species